CACAAAGACAGACGUCUUGGCAUCAAAAGGCUUGUUUUGGGCCUCAAUCCGCUCCUUCUCCGAUUUUCGAAGGAGCCCCCACACAGCAUUCCCUUGGGUCAUCGCCAGGGCUCAUCCUUGGAGUCUGACUUGGGCAGCAGAGCCAAAUCAAGAAGAGCCUUUAUGCUGAGUCUCCACCAUUGGGCCAAUGCCCACCCAGCCAGCAUGCAGAGGAACUAUUAUUAGAAGUUAAUGCCUUCAUCGUAGGGAAAAAUAUAGGAAAGAAAAGAGAAAAUGCAGCUAGACUCCAGUCUGCAGAGAUAAGAUGGGGGAAUGUAAGUGGGGCCAUACUUUAUAUACAAUUAUGUCUUGCAACCUGCCUUAACAUUCGUGUAGCUGAUUUUCAUGCUAUUCAUAUAAUUCACAUCCUUAUUUUUAAAAGAAAUUAUUUUGUGGCUAUGCUUUUAAAAUUAAAGCCUUUCUUUUUGAAGUCA